AUUGAACGCUGGCGGCAGGCCUAACACAUGCAAGUCGAGCGAGCGGCGGACGGGUGAGUAAUGUCUGGGAAACUGCCUGUUGGAUGGGGGUAACUACUUGAAACGGUAGAUAAUACCGCAUACCAUCAGAUGUGCCCAGAUGGGAGUAGCUAGUAGGUGGGGUAAUGGCUCAACUAGGCGACGUUCCCUAGCUGGUCAGGGAGGAUGACCAGCCACACUGGAACUGAGACACUGUCCGGACUCCUACGGGAGGCAGCAGUGGGGAAUAUUGCACAAUGGGCGCAAGCCUGAUGCAGCCAUGCCGCGUGUGUGAAGGAGGCCUUCGGGUUGUAAAGCACUUUCAGCGGGGAGGCGUUACCCGCAGAAGAAGCACCGGCUAACUCCGUGCCAGCAGCCGCGGUAAUAC
rnacentral:rRNA from 1 species